CUCCUGUGUCUGCCCUGGACCUGUUUGCCCUCACCCUUUCCCACGCCUGCUAUGUACUGGGGCUGGGACCUCAUCCCUGCAGGCUGUGCUUCCCCGGGUCAGUUACUUUUGGUUAUGUGGCCAAAGGCAGGCACAGGUGAGGGACUGGAAAACAAGAGGAAGGAAGAUAAUCAAGAGGAUCAAAUAUGUUAAAACAUGUCAUAUCUACUGUCGUUGCUCUAACGGGAGCCAAAAAGCAAUAUAGAACUAUGUGGAAGAUGGGGCUAUGAUUGAAACUGAUGAUGAGGAGUGGGAAGGCUGGACUGCUAAGUGGGAUUGUAGUUGUUGCCUCUUGUGUCUGUGUCACACUCAUUUAGCCCAUCUCUGAUUUCAUUCAUACCUGUGAUAGACUGUCUGACUCACCUUCUGCUGCUGGUGCUCUACCUCAAUACUCAUACCUCUUGUCUUUCUUCAUUCUGUGCUAGGGCCUUCUCCUAAUGCCAGGAAGCUUUCCAGGCUGGCCCAGCUCAGAAGUGCCGAGGAACUCAUACCCUAUGGGCAACCCUCAACCAAUGCACAAUGUUGGCCAAUGAACAAAUGCUCCAUCCUCCUCUCCACUGGGUAGACACUUGUGGGAAAUAUUCUGCAUACUUCUCAGAGGUCCUGGUGGAACUGAGCUCUUGUUGCUGACAAUAGUGACCUCACAGUGUGUCUGUUGAUGGACUUUUCCUCUUUCUCUGUUUUACUCUCCCUAUCUCCUUGCUCCUACUUCCUGGGAUCGCCUGCACUAAGUCCUUGUCUCGGGCUCUGCUUUGCGGGACACCAAAACACUCAUCACCACAGUCCGGGAAAUGUUUGAGGUGAACACAGAAUAGAAUUAAUUGUAGAACUUCUAAGCCGGCUUCUCUCCUGCUUGGGGAGAUGUCUUGAAGAAAACUACAGUGCAUAGAUGAACAGAAAAUGCUGUGCUAUUUAAGAGCUGUAACACUGAGACCAGGCAGUUUUACUGUGGGCAUCUUAAACAAGCGCAGCGCUGUGAGAAGAGGCAAACAUUCUUGAACUACAAGAAAGCACUGUGGAAUCGAUUGGCAGAGAACUGUAUCAGUGGCAGCUGACAUGGUUUGGGGGACAGGACCACCAGAACAUCUCUUCAAGAUCACCAUGACUUCAGCGGAGUGCCCCAAAACACCAGCUGGGCAGUUACUGCCAAUGGAGUGUUGACACCAGGGAAGUGAAUCUAGCCACAGGGGACAUCCUGGAAUUCCCUUCUCCCAGGAGGUACCCACAGAUAAACAAUGAGCUGAACUAAUUCCUGGGCAAAUAGAAGCAAGCCUAGAAUAUUUGAAGGAAUAAUUUUUGAAGAAUAUUUGAGAGAGAAGAAGAUGACUUUGUGCUAAUUUUGUACCUAGGGCAUCAGCCCUGUAAUUUAAGUUUUAGAAGAAACACAAACCUGUUUUAUCAUCACAGUUGGGUAAAGUCUGGAAUGUAUUUUACAACCACGUUAUUGACAAUUAUUCGGCUCAACAUUUCCGAAAAUUCAGUCAGUUGUCUAUCACCUACACUACAAUGUAUCAUUUGUACUAUUACUUACCUAAUACUUUCCUUUCAACCAGCCCACUUUUUAAAACUUAAAUACUUACUUUAUAUUAAAUACAAAUAAAUAUGAAAUUAUGGAUUUAGUAUCUACCUAUAUUUUCCUA
rnacentral:lncRNA from 1 species